rnacentral:rRNA from 1 species
CAGAUGAACGCUGGCGGCGUGCCUAAUACAUGCAAGUCGAGCGAACAGAUAAGGAGCUUGCUCCUUUGACGUUAGCGGCGGACGGGUGAGUAACACGUGGGUAACCUACCUAUAAGACUGGGACAACUUCGGGAAACCGGAGCUAAUACCGGAUAAUAUGUUGAACCGCAUGGUUCAAUAGUGAAAGAUGGUUUUGCUAUCACUUAUAGAUGGACCCGCGCCGUAUUAGCUAGUUGGUGAGGUAACGGCUCACCAAGGCAACGAUACGUAGCCGACCUGAGAGGGUGAUCGGCCACACUGGAACUGAGACACGGUCCAGACUCCUACGGGAGGCAGCAGUAGGGAAUCUUCCGCAAUGGGCGAAAGCCUGACGGAGCAACGCCGCGUGAGUGAUGAAGGUCUUAGGAUCGUAAAACUCUGUUAUUAGGGAAGAACAAACGUGUAAGUAACUGUGCACGUCUUGACGGUACCUAAUCAGAAAGCCACGGCUAACUACGUGCCAGCAGCCGCGGUAAUACGUAGGUGGCAAGCGUUAUCCGGAACUUAUUGGGCGUAAAGCGCGCGUAGGCGGUUCUCAAGUCUGAUGUGAAAGCCCACGGUCAACCGUGGAGGGUCAUUGGAAACUGGACAACUUGAGUGCCAAAGAGGAAAGUGGCAAUUCCCAUGUGUCAGCGGUGAAAUGCGCCACGAGAUAUCGGCGGAACACCAUGGCGAAGGCGACUUCUGGGCCUGAACUGACGGCUGAUGUGCGAAACGCGUGGGGAUCACACAGGAUUAAUACCCGGAAGUCCACGCCGAACAC